CCCGGCGAAAGUCGGACUAAUACCGCAUAAAACAGGGGCACCGCAUGGUGAUAUUUGUUAAAGAAAUUCGCUGAUAGAUGGGCAUGCGUUCCAUUAGGUAGUUGGUGAGGUAACGGCUCACCAAGCCGACGAUGGAUAGGGGAACUGAGAGGUUGGCCCCCCACACUGGUACUGAGACACGGACCAGACUCCUACGGGAGGCAGCAGUGAGGAAUAUUGGUCAAUGGGCGAGAGCCUGAACCAGCCAAGUCGCGUGAAGGAAGAAGGAUCUAUGGUUCGUAAACUUCCUUUGCAGGGGAAUAAAGUGCGGGACGUGUCCUGUUUUGUAUGUACCCUGAGAAUAAGGAUCGGCUAACUCCGUGCCAGCAGCCGCGGUAAUACGGAGGAUCCGAGCGUUAUCCGGAUUUAUUGGGUUUAAAGGGUGCGUAGGUGGUUUUAUAAGUCAGCGGUGAAAGUUUGCAGCUUAACUGUAAAAAUGCCGUUGAAACUGUAAGACUUGAGUGUAAAUGAGGUAGGCGGAAUGCGUGGUGUAGCGGUGAAGUGCAUAGAUAUCACGCAGAACUCCGAUUGCGAAGGCAGCUUACUAAGCUACAACUGACACUGAAGCACGAAAGCGUGGGGAUCAAACAGGAUUAGAUACCCUGGUAGUCCACGCAGUAAACGAUGAUUACUAGCUGUUUGCGAUACACAGUAAGCGGCACAGCGAAAGCGUUAAGUAAUCCACCUGGGGAGUACGCCGGCAACGGUGAAACUCAAAGGAAUUGACGGGGGCCCGCACAAGCGGAGGAACAUGUGGUUUAAUUCGAUGAUACGCGAGGAACCUUACCCGGGUUUGAACGUAGGGAGACAGGAGUGGAAACAUUCUUUUCAGCAAUGACUGCCUACGAGGUGCUGCAUGGUUGUCGUCAGCUCGUGCCGUGAGGUGUCGGCUUAAGUGCCAUAACGAGCGCAACCCUUAUUUUCAGUUACUAACAGGUGAUGCUGAGGACUCUGAAGAGACUGCCAGCGUAAGCUGUGAGGAAGGUGGGGAUGACGUCAAAUCAGCACGGCCCUUACAUCCGGGGCGACACACGUGUUACAAUGGUAAGGACAAAGGGCAGCUACCGGGCGACCGGAUGCGAAUCUCUAAACCUUAUCUCAGUUCGGAUCGGAGUCUGCAACUCGACUCCGUGAAGCUGGAUUCGCUAGUAAUCGCGCA
rnacentral:rRNA from 1 species